rnacentral:rRNA from 1 species
GACGAACGCUAGCGGCGUGCUUAACACAUGCAAGUCGAACGGUGAAGCGCCUUCCUUUUUGGUGGGUGUGGAUGAGUGGCGAACGGGUGAGUAACACGUGAGUAACCUGCCCCCUUCUUCUGGAUAACCGCAUGAAAGUGUGGCUAAUACGGGAUAUUCUGGGUCUGUCGCAUGAUGGGUCUGGGAAAGAUAUUGUUUCGGUGGGGGAUGGGCUCGCGGCCUAUCAGCUUGUUGGUGGGGUGAUGGCCUACCAAGGCGGUGACGGGUAGCCGGCCUGAGAGGGUGGACGGUCACACUGGGACUGAGACACGGCCCAGACUCCUACGGGAGGCAGCAGUGGGGAAUAUUGCACAAUGGGCGCAAGCCUGAUGCAGCGACGCCGCGUGAGGGAUGGAGGCCUUCGGGUUGUGAACCUCUUUCGCCAGUGAAGCAGGCCUGCCUCGUUUGUGGGUGGGUUGACGGUAGCUGGAUAAGAAGCGCCGGCUAACUACGUG